UUGAAACACUAGUGCUUAUAUGAUCACCAAAGUUAAGCAACAUCAAGCCUGGUCAGUACCUUGAUGGGUGACCACUUGUGAAUACCAGGUUCUGUA